GAAAAUGAUCUUUUACAUGAAUCCAGAAGACUAAUACCAGUUGAUACUAUAUUGAACAUAAGCAAACUCAAAACUAAUACUAGUACAGGUAGGCUUGAUAACUCAAGUACAACAAUUAGUUUAACUUAAAACAAGUUAGUCUCGUAUAGUAGAACAUUCCCACAAAGGGUGUAAGAUUUCUCAGCUAUGACAGUAGAAAAACACAGUUCCCCAGUCCUACAACUUUAGGCCGCGCUGCCAUUGCGCUCAAACAGCCCCAGAUUUUCUGUCCUGUUCACAAGAAUUCCAAAUCAAUCUACAACAUAAUUGGGAGCCACUGCUAAAAUCCGGUCGUUUCUGGAUGCUGAUUGCCUUCCACUUUCCUCGCCUGCUUGCGUACCAUCAUCUACAACUAUCAAAUGGCCUUCUCUUCGAAUCAAGCUCUCUAUAAUAGCUUUCACUUUCGUGACUUCGGCUGCUGCCUCUUCCAUGGAGCUGUAGCUAUUCUUAUCAUUCUGCUGACUCACGUACCACUGUAUAAGAUCUUUCUGCCUCAUUCCAGCUAAUCCAGUCCCGUCUUGCAUUACAGUCUCUUCAUGCUGCCUCAAUCGCAGAAUAAGAGCACGGGUGACUCUCUGGAAAUAUUCAUCAGUAAUGACUAGUUUCUUUCCUUGCUUGUUUGUAGUUCCAGCACCAUUUUCUGCAUUCCCAGAUACUGACUCAGCCGGAGCUUCAGUUGGUUCAGUUUCCCUUUGACCAGUACCAUUUUGAGUAUCACCAACACCAUCCUCGGGAUUCUCAUUUUGGAACUCAGAUAGAUCAAUUUCACUGGACUCCACACUGAUUAUCGAUGUCUUCAACAAUUUCUUUGCAAUUUGUACAUGACGUGGUUGCACCUGAAUAUCCAAGUGACAUCGAGCAAUAGCCUCCGAAAGUCUGAUCAACGCCUCCAGCUGUCUAACAGUCAUGCGGUAGGCAACUCUACUCCCUGGAGCAGUGUCAUCUUGACGUAAAGCAACAUAUGAAUCAACCAACAACUCUCUAGCUUCUGCAGAUAGCUUAGGUUUCAGUGUUUUAGCAUACAUUAUGUAUCGCUUCACUUGUGCAGUGCUAAAAGGAGGGUCAACUGGAUUCUGCCGCCUUUGGUGAACUCUCACUAUGUGAUGAGCAAUAUUAUAGUCUGUUUGAUCAUCAGGAUCAUCAAUCAUUACAUAUACCAGAUCAAACCUUGAAAGAAUGGCAGGAGGUAGUGCAACAUUAUACUUCAGAGGUUUGGUCUUAUCAUAUCGCCCACCCGUGGGGUUGGCUGCAGCUAAAAUUGAAGUCCGGGCAUUCAGUGUUGCUUGUAUACCGGCUUUAGUUAUGCUUAUUGUCUGCUGUUCCAUUGCUUCAUGAAUGGCAACCUGAUCUCUAACAUCCAUUUUGUCAAAUUCAUCAAUACAACAGAUACCAUUGUCUGCAAGCAUCAGUGCACCAGCCUCA
rnacentral:misc_RNA from 1 species